UUUUUCCAGGCAUUGCUGUUAUCAGAUAAUUAAUAAUGUGUCAAUUAAUAAUUUAAGAUUUUAAUUUAUAAUAUACUGAAAGAUAAUAUUCCAAUUUUUCCAUAAGAGGGUAAAGAUCCCUUUCAGUCAUGAAUUACCAUGGAAUUGCAUCUAGAAAUUUACCCACUGAGGUACAAGUCCAGACAAGCUUGUUAGUGGGAGACCAGCAGUUGCCCAUGCAUACCAACCUCCUCUCUCCACGCCACUGAUGUUAUCCAAGGGAAAAGCAAAGGCCGAUACAAUUUGGCAUCAGUGACGUUGCAACUCAUUUUUACAGCUGAGUGAACUGGAGCAACGUGAAAAUGAUGUGUCUUGCUUAAGAACACAACACACGUGUUGGUCCAAGAAUUGAACUCAUUACCUCAUGAUUGUGAGCCUGACACUCUAAUCACUGAGCCAUGGCAUCAAAAAUUAAUGGUUUGCCAUAUAUGUUCCUGUUAAUUAUCUUUUUGAAUAAAGAGUACAAGCUUAUAUGUUGAAA